rnacentral:rRNA from 1 species
UACGAAGGGGGCUAGCGUUGUUCGGAAUUAUUGGGCGUAAAGGGUGCGUAGGCGGUUUGGUAAGUCUGAUGUGAAAUCUAUGGGCUCAACUCAUAGUCUGCAUCGGAAACUGCCGGGCUUGAGUGUGGGAGAGGUGAGUGGAAUUCCUGGUGUAGCGGUGAAAUGCGUAGAUAUCAGGAGGAACACCUGUGGCGAAAGCGGCUCACUGGACCACAACUGACGCUGAUGCACGAAAGCUAGGGGAGCAAACAGG